rnacentral:pre_miRNA from 1 species
GAUGGAAUUGCUGGGUCAUUUGGUGGUUUUUGGUGUAACUUUUUGAAGAGCUGCCCAACUAUUUUUCAAAAUGUCUGCAGCACAGUGCAAUCCCACCAGCAAU